GGGGGUAUUGCACAUGACUAAGUUGCAUGUUGUCACGGCCUUAGUGCAAUUUAGUGUGUGUGAUAUUUUC
rnacentral:pre_miRNA from 1 species